UGCGGCCGCGGUGCAAUGGCACUCCGACAUCGUUUUCAAAAUUAGCCAGAAAACAGUGAACAUGGCAACCCGGCGUACACGUCUACGUGAAUACCGAAGAUACGGAAGAAAUAGUCGAGUUCUUGUACGCAAGAAGCGCAUCUCCUCCUGUAGCGUGACAAAACAACGCAGUUCACGGAGUGCCUUUCUGAAAUUAUCGCACAAAUUAUAUCUUGAUGUGUAAAAUAGUAGCACAAACAGACAUACUAUUUUAUACUUAUAGUAUUUUUUGCUCUCUUUCCAAUCAUUGCUUUCAUACCCGGAACAGAAAGAGUUUUGACAGAUUUUUAUUUAUUUAUCGUCAGGCAGUAGAAGAGGCGUCUCUUUUGGGGGUAUUUCUGGAAGAAACAGGAAGAGAAAAAGAUGACGGUUCAUAACCUGUACAUCUUUGAUCGUAACGGAAGCUGUUUGCACUAUGGGGAGUGGAACCGCAAGAAACAGGCCGGCAUCUCCAAGGAGGAGGAGUUUAAGCUGAUGUAUGGGAUGCUGUUCUCCAUUAGAUCCUUCUGCAGCAAGAUGUCUCCCCUGGAUAUGAAGGAUGGUUUCCUGACCUUUCAGACCAGCAAGUAUAAACUCCACUACUACGAGACAGCUACUGGCAUCAAGAUCAUAAUGAACACAGACCUGGGAGUUCCCAACGCUAGAGAUAUACUGCACCAGAUAUACAGCACGCUGUAUGUAGAGUACAUAGUGAAGAAUCCUCUGUGUGUUCUGGGGGAGCAGCUGUCCUCUGACAUCUUCUCUACGAGACUGGACCUCUACAUCAGAGCCCUGCCCUUCUUCAGCCCCCGCGCUGCAUAACACACACACACACACACACACACACACACACACACACACACACCGCACGCAAACCAAACAGGCACGCACACACAUUUUGGGGGGUGGGAUUGUCUGGGGGAAGUGAGGGGGUUGUCUGGGGGAAGUGAGGGGGGGUUGUCUGGGGGAAGUGAGGGGGGGUUGUCUGGGGGAAGUGAGGGGGGGUUGUCUGGGGGAAGUGAGGGGGGUUGUCAUGUAUUUAUUAGUUAGUAACAUGUCUGAAUGUUGGGUCCAUGUCUUUAAUAGAACCAUUACAGUAGACCUGAACAACAUUAUUCCAUGUUUCUGUUUCUGUUCUGUGAGAGGAGCACACACACACACACACACACACACACACACUGAACACACACACACUGAACACACACACACACACACUGAACACACACACACUGAACACACACACACACACACUGAACACACACACACACACACUGAACACACACACACACACACUGAACACACACACACUGAACACACACACACACACACACACACACACACACACACACACACACACACACACACACACACUGAACACACUCACACACACACACACGCACGCACGCACGCACGCACACACACUGAACACACUCACACUAACACACACACACACGCGCGCGCACACACACACACACACACACACUGAACACACACACACACACUGAACACACUAACACACACACACGCACGCACGCACACACACACACUGAACACACUCACACUAACACGCACACACACACACACACACACACACUGAACACACACACACACUGAACACACACUGAACACACACUGAACACACACACACGAACAAAUACACACACUGUGAACUUUGUAUUAUUUACAACCUUUUGAUUACUCAGGUCUUAAUCAGGUCAUUGAUUGGCUGAUUUAAGGGUGAUAACACCAAUACUGUUGACCUCUGACCUCGGGGGUUCUGGGUAACAGGACGUGUUACCGUGGUGAUCAGGGGGCGUAUUAUGGGAUAUCGCUGGCGUUUAUGACGAGGGAGGACGAUUUAUUUAUUCAUAAGCAUGGCCUUAUUUACAACGAGAGAAACAUUUGAGGUGACAGUGACACAUUCAAUACCGCCUUUCACAGUCUGACCUGCAUCUAGGGUGUCAUCAUUUAGUCCAACAGUUCCAAACGAGAGUUUUCUAUUGGACAAAUUCAGGUAUAUUUAUCCCCGUUUUGUUCCGUUUGCUUCCGUUUAAGAAACUUAACAGAAUCGUCGAAACGAAUACACCCCUGAUUACGCGUAAACACAGUUCACUUUCAUAGCAGCCACGUUGUAUUCCUUCUCGCGUCUAUACCGUCUCCUCUCACCUUUUUCCCCUUGUGGACUUCAAUGCACAACACAUCAGCUAUAUGUGACCAGGAGUAAAAAACGUUUCCAAGCCAAACCAUAUCAUAACCACUACACACAGCCUGCAUCGUUGUCCCCAUAUUAGCUAAAGUAACGUCAUAGUCAAAAUAGCUAAUAGAACUAAAGCGUUAGUAAACCCUGUUGGCAAUAAAUUAAUAAAACCAAAAGCUUACCUUGACUUGGAAGGGUUCCAGUGUUGUGUUGGAUAGUCAUAGCUAGCUAGCUAACAUCCCUCUGAGUAGGCUAAGCUAGCUAGCUAGCUGCAUGUGCUAGCUAAGUUAAUGAAAGUGAAAAAUAAAUGACUCUUGCUAAUCCUUUUUUGAAGAAAUUAUUUUGUUCAAAACUGUUAAUUAAACUAUUGUCUCUCUCUUUGAGUCAACUACUCACCACAUUUUAUGCACUGCAGUGUUAGCUAUCUGUAGUUUAUGCUUUCAGUACUAGAUUCAUUCUCUGAUCCUUUGAUUGGGUGGACAACAUGUCAGUUCAUGUUGCAAGAGCUCUGACAGGUUGGAGGACGUCCUCCGGAUGUUGUCAUAAUUACUGUGUAAGUCUAUGGAAGGUGGGGUGAGAACCAUGAGCCUCCUAGGUUUUGUAUUGAAGUCCAUGUGCCAAGAGGAGGACGGAAGCUAGCUGUCCUCAGGCUACACCUCGGUGCUACCCUACAGAGUGCUGUUGACUGUAGACCUGUUGGCUGUAGACCUUCAUUGCAAAAUGGUGUGUUUUAAUCAAUUAUUUGUUGGCGUGAAUAUAUUUAGUAUAGUUUUAUCUAAAAAGGAUAACUUUAAUGUUUUACAAUUUUUAUUUUUAUGAAAUUCACUGAGGAUGGUCCUCCCCUUCCUCCUCUGAGGAGCCUCCACUGACGUGUCGAGUGCCUUCAGAAAGUAUUCAGACCCCUUGACUUAUUCCACAUUUUGUUACGUUACAGACUUAUUCUAAAAUUGAUUAAAUUACAUGUUUUCCUAAUCAAUCUACACACAAUACCCCAGAAUGACAAAGCAAAAAGAGGAUUUUAGAUUAAUUGACAUAAAAAUUCAGACUCUUUGAGCUCAGGUGCAUCUUGUGGAAGAAAUUGUCCAUAGAUCUCUGAGACAGGAUUGUGUCGAGGCACAGAUCUGGGGAAGGGUACCAAAAAAACGGUUGCAGCAUUGAAGGUCUCCAAGAACACAGUGGCCUCCAUUAUUCUUCAAUGGAUUAAGAUUGGAACCACCAAAACUCUUCCUAGAGCUGGCCGCCCGGCCAAACUGAGCAAUUGGGGGAGAAGGGCUGACCAAGAACCCGAUGGU
rnacentral:lncRNA from 1 species